rnacentral:rRNA from 1 species
GAUGAACGCUGGCGGCGUGCCUAAUACAUGCAAGUAGAACGCUGAAGGCGGAGCUUGCUCUUCUGGAUGAGUUGCGAACGGGUGAGUAACGCGUAGGUAACCUGCCUGGUAGCGGGGGAUAACUAUUGGAAACGAUAGCUAAUACCGCAUGACAACAGUUACUGCAUGAUAACUGUUUAAAAGGGGCAACUGCUCCACUACUAGAUGGACCUGCGUUGUAUUAGCUAGUUGGUGAGGUAACGGCUCACCAAGGCGACGAUACAUAGCCGACCAGAGAGGGUGAGCUGCCUCACUGGGACGGGAACACGGCCCAGAACCCUGCGGGUGAGAGCAGUAGGGGACCUUCAGGAAAAGACGGAAGGCUGACCGAGGAACGCCGCGUGAGGGCAGAAGGUAUUCGGGUCGUGAAGAUCAGGUGUAUGAGAAGAACGUGUGUGAGUUUGGCAAGGGCACACAGUGACGGUAUCUGACCAGAAAGGGACGGCUAACUACGUG